rnacentral:rRNA from 1 species
AACGAACGCUGGCGGCGCGCCUAACACAUGCAAGUCGAGCGAUGAAGACUCCUUCGGGAGUGUAUGAAGCGGCGGACGGGUGAGUAAUGCGUAGGCAACCUGCCUCAAAGUGGGGGACAACCUGUCGAAAGAUGGGCUAAUACCGCGUAAGCUGUAAGGGUAGUACCUUUCAGUAAAGGCUUCGGCCGCUUUGGGAUGGGCCUACGUCCGAUUAGAUAGUUGGUGGGGUAAUGGCCUACCAAGUCUGCGAUCGGUAACUGGUCUGAGAGGAUGAUCAGUCACACUGGAACUGAGACACGGUCCAGACUCCUACGGGAGGCAGCAGUGAGGAAUUUUGCGCAAUGGGCGAAAGCCUGACGCAGCGACGCCGCGUGGAGGAUGACGUCUUUCGGGAUGUAAACUCCUGUCAGUGGGAACGAUAAUGACAGUACCCACAGAGGAAGCACCGGCUAACUCCGUGCCAGCAGCCGCGGUAAUACGGAGGAUGCAAGCGUUAUCCGGAUUCAUUGGGUUUAAAGGGUGCGUAGGCGGCUUUUUAAGUCAGUGGUGAAAUCUUGCCGAUUAACGGUAAAAUUGCCAUUGAUACUGAAGAGCUUGAGUACAUUUGAGGUAAGCGGAAUGUGUAGUGUAGCGGUGAAAUGCUUAGAUAUUACACAGAACACCAAUUGCGAAGGCAGCUUACUAAGCUGUUACUGACGCUGAUGCACGAAAGCGUGGGGGAGCGAACAGGAUUAGAUACCCUGGUAGUCCACGCCGUAAACGAUGUUCACUCGCUGUUUGCGAUACACAGCAAGCGGCCAAGCGAAAGCAUUAAGUGAACCACCUGGGGAGUACGAUCGCAAGGUUGAAACUCAAAGGAAUUGACGGGGGCCCGCACAAGCGGAGGAACAUGUGGUUUAAUUCGAUGAUACGCGAGGAACCUUACCUGGGCUUAAAUGUAGAGCGACAGAUUGUGAAAGCAGUCCUUCUUCGGACGAUCUACAAGGUGCUGCAUGGUUGUCGUCAGCUCGUGCCGUGAGGUGUCGGGUUAAGUCCCAUAACGAGCGCAACCCUUAUCGUUAGUUGCCAGCGGGUCAAGCCGGGGACUCUAGCGAGACUGCCACCGUAAGAUGUGAGGAAGGUGGGGAUGACGUCAAAUCAGCACGGCCCUUAUGUCCAGGGCUACACACGUGUUACAAUGGCCGAUACAAAGGGCAGCUACCAGGUGACUGGAUGCUAAUCUCUAAAGUCGGUCUCAGUUCGGAUCGAAGUCUGCAACCCGACUUCGUGAAGCUGGAUUCGCUAGUAAUCGCAUAUCAGCCAUGAUGCGGUGAAUACGUUCCCGGGCCUUGUACACACCGCCCGUCAAACAAUGGAAGCUGGGGGUACCUGAAGUCUGUAACCGCAAGGAGCGGCCUAAGGUAAAACUAGUAACUGGUGUU